AGGACAGACCCACGGAAACGGAUGUGCUAUAAAACAGAUCCGGGGGACAUUUUCUGCACAGGUCCACACUGUGAAAGCAUGCUUCCUACGGCCAUGGCUGCCAGCCUCCCAGGGUUAGCAUCGGAUAUGUUGGUAAAGUUAAUUGCAUGCGUAUUUAUAGUUUAUUAUUAUUAUUAUUAUUAUUAUUAUUAUUAUUGUUAUUAUUGUUACUACUAUACGGGACCGGAUCGUGCUUUUGUUCCGAGCAGCGCGACCAGGCCGUGAAGAGGAGAAAAUACAUGAAGGUAAGAUUUUAAACCGUUUCCUUCAAAGUCACAUUUAAAUGACGUUCCCUCUCUUUAAGGCAUUAUUUAGUUCUUUCCAUGAAGCUUCUGAUUCAGGAGAUGGAGUGACUGCACGUCCACGUGGCUCCCGGAUGAAGCAGGACUUCCUUAUGGAGCUGGACUCUGGAUCUCCUCAAUAAGAGCACAGGAUCAGACGGCUGAAGCAGGAGGUGACCCCACCACUCUAAUGAUUCUCUGUUUAUUGUUCAAUAAAGCUUUAACCUUCAAACCUAAA